ACGGAGGUUGCGAGCGUUGUUCGGAAUGACUGGGCGUAAAGGGAGCGCAGCCGGUUCGAUUAGUCUGGAGUGAAAGCCCGGGGCUCAACCCCGGAGGGUCUCCGGAUACUGUCGAACUCGAGUACGGAAGAGGAGAGUGGAAUUCCAGGUGUAGCGGUGAAAUGCGUAGAUAUCUGGAGGAACACCGGUGGCGAAAGCGGCUCUCUGGUCCGAUACUGACGGUCAGGCUCGAAAGCGUGGGGAGCAAACGG
rnacentral:rRNA from 1 species